UAUGACCAGCACAGUGGACCUUAAAGCAUAAUAUGAAAUGGAUUUAAAAAACCAUAGGAACUCUCUAAUCAGAUGCGACCGAAUCAAUCGUGUCUCCCAAAACGCAAAAGUUGCAACAGCGUUUUGAUUAACUCUCCGCCUCGGCAUCACGGCUGCAGAUUUGGAACGUCGGAGUUGCAUCGUGAUUCGGCCUCAAUCAUCAUCGUGUUCAAGCUUCAACAUCAUCUCGCAGUCUCAAAUCCGCAUCAAUAACUCAGCUCGAGAUUCAUCAUUUCCGCGCGUACAAACGGAGAGAACGGAAUUGAAAUUAAAGCGAGGAACUCACCGGUUCGACGUGGCGGUGAAAACAGCAUGUUUGUGGGACUAUUGAUGAUUGGUGAUGAAGUGAAAGCUUUCAAGGUUUGUGAAGGAUAGAUUGGAUUGCUAUGGACUUUGGUCAUGUUGUAACUUUUGUUGAUUGAAUGUAUUAGAAAUUUACUUUGUAUGUAUAUUUGGAAUAGUUUAAUAUAUAUUUGGAAUUGAAUGAUGGGGUUUAUGUAAAUGUCUGGAAGGGAUUUGAAGAUCAACUUGAAAUGGUUUUAUGGAAUUUCAAAUUGAAAUGCUUGAAUGUAAAUUUGUAAAUACUAUGAAUGUACAUUUGUAAUUUUGGCAAUGAAUUUAAAUGUUAAAUUUGGAUA